rnacentral:rRNA from 1 species
UACGUAGGCAGCGAGCGUUGUUCGGAGUUACUGGGCGUAAAGGGUGUGUAGGCGGUUGUUUGAGUUUGGUGUGAAAUCUCCCGGCUCAACUGGGAGGGUGCGCCGAAUACUGAAUGACUUGGAGUGCGGGAGAGGAAAGUGGAAUUCCUGGUGUAGCGGUGAAAUGCGUAGAUAUCAGGAGGAACACCGGUGGUGUAGACGGCUUUCUGGACCGUAACUGACGCUGAGACACGAAAGCGUGGGUAGCAAACAGG